rnacentral:rRNA from 1 species
UACGUAGGGUGCAAGCGUUGUCCGGAAUUAUUGGGCGUAAAGGGCUCGUAGGCGGUCCAUCACGUCGGGAGUGAAAAGCUGGGGCUUAACCCCAGUCCUGCUUCCGAUACGGGCAGACUGGAGUACUGCAGGGGAGACUGGAAUUCCUGGUGUAGCGGUGGAAUGCGCAGAUAUCAGGAGGAACACCGGUGGCGAAGGCGGGUCUCUGGGCAGUAACUGACGCUGAGGAGCGAAAGCGUGGGGAGCGAACAGG